AAAAGACACUUUCAAUCAUUCCAGGAGGUUCCUUGCAGGUGCGGGGGUCGGAGUGAAGACGAGGGGUCGGAGGUCGCGGACGACGCGUCACUGCGUCAGCGCCAGCAGAAUGUCUUUGACCAGCAUGGUGCCGAUCACCAUCUUCUCGCAGUUGACCGUCAGCUGGGCGCCGCCCUCCUCCUUGGUCGCCACGGUGACCAGCACCAGGCUGCCGCUGGUCACCGUCUUGCCGGCGAACCUGUGUGCGGGAAGAAGAAAAGGAGGAGGGAGAGGAGGACUGAGGUCAAAGCAGCAGAGUGAAAGAAAGUGAAAGGGCACUCUGCUGAGGUUGGCGGCCGUGGCCACCUUCUGGACGAUGGCGUGUUCGUUACGGCACUUCUCAUCUAAAGUGAGCUUCUCCGUGAUCUCGUUCAUGCCCAUCAGCUGACCUGGAGGAGGACGAGGAAGCAGCGGAGUAGACGGCCAUCAAUAAACGCUGAUCAUCAAAGGUUUUAGGCCCCGCCACAGCACUGAAACAGUUCUGAUCAAGGUGACAAAUGGUAUCGCCCUGAACACAGAUGCAGGAAAAGUCUCAGUCUUGGUUCUGCUGGACCUGAGCCGCUGCCUUGACACAAUUGACCAUACUAUCUUAAUACAGAGGUUAGAAAAUUGCUCUUAACUGUUUCAAGUCCUAGCUAGAUCACAGGUCAUACUUUGUUGAAAUUGGUUGCUGUGUCUCUGACCAAUUGGCUGUGACUUGUAGGGUUUCUAAGGGCUGAAUACUGGGUGCCCACAUCGGCGGUCCCCUCCAAAGUUUCUUGUUGUUCCUAUUGGGUUGAGUUUUUUUCUUGCCCCUAUGUGGGAUCUGAGCCGAAGAUGUCGUUGUGGCUUGUGCAGCCCUUUGAGAUACUUGUGAUUAAGGGCUAUAUAAAUAAACUUUGAGUGGCUUUCAGACCCUCUCCCUGAAACCCAAUAAUCAGGUUGGAAGUUUAGGUGUAAUAAUGGACUCAGACUUGAACUUUAACAGCCACAUUAAGUCGAUAACAUCAGCAGCUUUUCAACCACCUGAAAAACUUUGCCAAAAUCAUAGGAAUAAUGUCUAAAUCCAACUUAGAAAGACUGAUCCAUGCCUUUGUCUCCAGCAGGUUAGACUACUGUAAUGGCCUUCUCACCAGGCUCUCUAAACGAACUGUCAAGCAGCUGCAGUACAUCCAGAAUGCUGCUGCUCGAGUCCUGACUAAAACCAGGAAAUACGACCAUAUUAGUCCAUGGUCUCAGUCACUGCACUGGCUUUCUGUUGCUCAGAGAAUAGACUUUAAGACAGCUCUGCUUGUGUGCAAGUCUUUUCAUGGUCUGACAUUUUAGAACCAUAUGGCCUCUGAGGAACCCCAAGAAGUGGUCUCCUGCUGGUGCCCAGAGCUAGGACCAAACAUGCGUUUACUACAAUCUGGAAUAGUAUUCCAAAAGAUGUGAGACAGGCCUCAACACUGGCAAUGUUGAAAUCCAGGCUAAAACUAUUUUAUUUAAUGUUGCAUUGCAACUGAAAGUAUUUUGUCUACACUCUUUGAUUUUAAUUUGAAUUAUAAUAGUUUGUGUGUUUAAUUAGAAUUCUGAUUUAUUUUAUUUUUGGUUUUGCCUUCUUGUGAUUUUCUGUACAGCACUUUGGAUUGCCUUGUGUACAAAUUGUGCUCUAUAAAUACACUUGCCUUGCUUUGCCAUUAUGGAUUAGUUUAGGUGUCUGCUGGCUCCAAAUCAGCCCUGAAGUCAUCCAGCAGCUCAAAGAUGGAAUUGCUGGAUAAAUAACAUGUCUAAUAUUGAGGAAGGGAGGAGAGGAUUCUCUCUCUGACAAAAUCCUCAGCGCAAAAGCUUUUACUUAGUUUACAGGUGUUU